rnacentral:rRNA from 1 species
AAUGAACGCUGGCGGCGCGCCUAAUACAUGCAAGUCGAGCGAGAAGACGUAGCAAUACGUUUGUAAAGCGGCGAACGGGUGAGGAAUACAUGGGUAACCUACCCUCGAGUGGGGAAUAACUAGCCGAAAGGUUAGCUAAUACCGCGUACGCUUCUUGGACUUCGGUUCAGGGAGGAAAGCGAUGCCGAGGGUAUCGCGCUCUUGGAUGGGCUCAUGUCCUAUCAGCUUGUUGGGAGGUAACGGCUCACCAAGGCUUCGACGGGUAGCUGGUCUGAGAGGACGAUCAGCCACACUGGCACUGGCGACACGGGCCAGACUCCUACGGGAGGCAGCAGUAAGGAAUAUUGCGCAAU